UCUGAAGCGGCCAAGUCCUUCCUGCCUCUGUCGACUAAACUUCCGUGAUGGGCAUCACCUCUGCCCUCCUCCAAGACGCUUUGGAAACAGGGACUUCUGCUCCAAACCCCAGGCCUACAACUUCGUCCUCAACCACCGGGCGAGAGUUAGGACCAGUCUUCCAGUGCCCGCGCCACGAAAGACAGCAUCCUCUCAACUCCGGGACCUUCCCCUCCCCAAGACCGACGCGAGUUGGUGAAGUCCCAGCGCCCCUGCCCAGGCCGGGCUGCGACGGGUACCCGAAGGGCCCAGGACGCGACCCAACCGGCCACCACCACAGGUGUCCCCUGGCACAACGCCGACUGGAGAGCGAGGAGAGAGCCGGCCAGGGAGCCUCUUGGAAAUGAAUUAAAAGUCUUUGACUUCUUCAACAAACUCUUGAGAAUGGUGAGAAGGCUCCAGAUAACAAGUAUGUUUUAUCCUAGGAGCAAACUUCAGAGCCUCUUCCCAUCUUCCCAACUGGCAUUUGAUCUAAGGAUCCAGCCUGGACCAAGAUCACACCCCGAGGCUCACCCCACUCUGUGGCUUGCUGAUGUUAAUCUCCUAGUCCUCCAACGAGCAACCCAGGACAGGAAGACUGUAUCACCUGAUCAGCCUGAGGCAUAAGGCUCAGACAGCUCCCAGACUAUCCCAAGCUCCAGGGAGAAAGAAUAAAAUCUCUCAGAGCAGACUUGACUGCUUUCCACUGAUAAGCACUGGACAGCCUGGUGAAUUAACCAGAGGCAGACCAAGGCUGGUGACGACUCCUCUACUCUGUCGAGUUAGAGUGUUACCCAAAGAAUUCCCCUCAACCCGGGACGGUGUGAUGUGUUUCACGGUGGUUUCAUUUCAGUCGUCUUAGUUGCCAUUAAGUUUUUCAUUCUCCAUGGAUUUUGGCUGGCACUGCAUCAUGCAGUCCUAUCUCCUAAAACUUUCACCUUCUCAACCAGGGAGCAGAGCCCCUGGGAAAAACGGUACCCAAAGUCAAACAUAAGGGAAGCUCCAAAAGCAGGCACUUUGGUUUGAUCCAUGGAUGUGAUGUACAAAAAUGCUAGGAAAACAGUCUUCCUUUCAAUCCGAGAGAAGCGCCCAUCUUUUGGAGCCCUUCUUCCUGACCCAACCCUUCUUAUGUUCUGGGCCUGGCCACUUACAGCUUGAAAGGGGACCCAAUUGGGAGAGGACACCUUCUCAGAGAUGACCUUUAUUUGGAGGCCACUACCACAAACCACCACAUCCAAGAACAUUUUUUCAGCCUGACCUGGGCUUCUCAUCAGAGAAUGGCCAAACUGGGCCACUGGACUCUUUUACACCACUUAGAAAGAGCUCUAAGCUGGCAGCCAGUGUUCCUGCUCUGCCCCAUCUACUGGCCAGAGCCUUGUCUGCCCACGGUGGCACAGAGCACACCACCAUGAGGACAACAUGGGGGACAGAGAAACAGGGGUGUCUCCAGCAAGAAGCGCAGAGACAGUGUCCUUAUCCUGUGUCCCUGUAGCCCCAAGCAAGUCUUCAGGGCCUGAUUUUGAGCAAACCUGCAUCUGAGUGAACCAGUCACGCCCUGUCUUCUGUGUAUGGACUCAAACAACCAAGUGCUGUGAUGCUCUGGGCUGGGGUGGGAAAGAGAAGGGGCCGAGGUCAAGGUCGGAUCACUGAGAGUACUGGGCUUGAUUAUCUCUACUCACACUGACUCCUUCCUGAAUAGCUUGCCUCAAUGUCUGUCAACAAAUGAACUUGUAUUAGGCGGUAACACCAAUCAGAGCAACUUACAGGAAAGGCUUUUCUGUUGGAACAGGGCAGGAGCCGUGCUGUUGGGCUAAGGUCCAAGCGGGGACAUGGGCUCCAGGAAAGCGACAAUCCGUUUGUGGAUGGGAACAAUGAAGGAACAUGUUGUCUCGGAACCUGAGCGACAUACUGUACUGUCCCCUCAGAUGUCAGGCUGCACGCCUGCUCCACCCACCUCGGAAUAUGACGUCAGAGUACGAGACUGUGCCCCACAAUCUGUUCCCGUACAGGGGCCCAAAGGUCACAGCCCAUGAAGGAAUUCAGCCAAGGUCCCAGGGCUUGGCCUUCUCUUCCUCAGAAGGAUGCAGACGUCGUCAGCGGCCCCUCGCCCUCCUCACCAGUCUGGUCUUAUAGGACUGAGACCAAUGAGGCUCACGCAAGGAAAAUCUCCCUACAAGAACACCCAGCAACAGUCCGGUACAAUCACGAUUACAGGGAGGAGCCCUUAACGUGGCACAGGAAGGUCCCGUUCCAGCCACAGGUGCUACAGAGCAUUUCCUUCAGCGGAUGCAGGGCCACACCUGACUGGCCGCCCCAGGCUGCAGACAGUGCAAGAGGACAUGCAGUGGGGGCAGAGCCUUGGGGAUGUGUUUCUGUUUGAAUGGUGGGGAGUCAAACAUAAUGGAGGUUUGAGGCUGUCUUCCCACAGCUCCUGGGAUUGCUGUGCCUCUCCCUCAACCCCUUCCUUCCUUCCUUCCUUCCCCAGAACAGACAGUUUUCUAGAAGGAGAACGUUCACAGGAUGAAGCAACAGGGUUCCAUCCAGGGAGGUUCACCGCACACUGGAUCCUAGCACACGGACUAGCAGCCAAGGAGGUAUCCUGAGCCUCUAGAAAGGAUGUUACAUCUCAAAGACAAGAGAAGGUCUAGACAUCUUGCCCGCUCGAUUUAGGGAAUCUUCGAAAGGAGCCGCUGAAAUGUGCAUUCCAGCCCUGUGAGAAGACAGCCCUUCAAGCAAGGAAGGUUGGUGGAAGGUAGGAGAAGCAAAGGCCCUGAGGCAGGGCUGUAAACAUUGUGCUUUUCUAAGGCCAACCUGGUGCAUGGCUUUGGCAACUAUGGUUACAUCUCCAAAAGGUGGUGAAAAAUAUGCUUUGGGAGGAGUAGAGUCCAUCCACAUCCUAAAACGCAGCGUGGGGCUAAGGCUGGGGGAAGAGGGAGAGAAAACGCUCCUUCCUCAGCCAGGGGCUGUGGGGUGGCUACUUGGGUAAAUCCCUCAUCAUGUCCUACGUUCACACUUACACACUGAGCACAGGGAAGGGAUGCUUGGACAGCGUGGAGGAAGUGAUGAUGCCUGCAUCAGUUAGGUAACGUGGCUCUAUAAAGGGCAGAAACGCUCUUGCAAGGUCAAGAAAGUGACAAAACCUCUCUGGACAUCCUGGUCAAGCCCCAGCCAGCUGGACCCCAUCAGCCUCAGGCAAAGACUGCCAUGCCUUGAGGAAAGGCCAGGUGAGUGCAGGCACCAAGUCCCCGCGGGCCACCAGCCCUGAGCCUGGCCCCGAGGUACAGCCAGGGAGACUGGAGCCACACCUCCAUCCGCCAGGAGCUGUGCCUCAGGACCCGGUCCUCACCUCUGUAGGUCUGGGGCUGCCAGGAGCCAUGCCAGGGGUCUCGCUCCCAGAGCCCAGGGAGAAUGGGCACCCUCCCUGAUGGGACUCUGCUCCCUCCCAGGGCUACUCACCACCAUGUGAUCUUGAACUCAUAGAUGGGGCGCUUGCAGUAGUAGUGGUUGAUGAGGUGCUUGUCACACACCCCGAUGCACUGGUGGUCCACGGUGAGGCCCUGGGCUGACAGGUCCGUGACCAGGCAGUGCAGCAGGUCGUAAACGUCAGCCACAGCCUCCCAGGGUCCGAAAGACACGUCUACUUCGCAGUGGUGCUCAAAGAGCUGCCCAUCACUCUCGUUCCGCUCGAAGCGCAGGGAGUUGAGAAGCGGACACUCAUAGGGGGUGAUGGGCAUCUCCUCCUUGAAGACACAGACCUUGAGCUUGGCAAAGCGGGCCUUCCGCUGGACAGCACGCAGCCGGGCAAUCUCCACGAUCCGCUCCAAGUGGUCUAUGGGGGUGAACACAGCACCCAUCACUGGGACGGGGGUGGGGCAAGGCAGUGUGGGGUCACAGAGAGAGCCCCAGUGACAGCGGGGUCCAAGAAGGAAGAGACGGAUCCCUGGGGAAGAGGCUCUGUGGGCCUGGGAAGGGCACAAACUUAAACAGGGAUCCAGGCUCUGCACCGCAAAAGGAAAGCAAGGGGAUGGGAUGGGUAUCAUCCUUUCAAAAUGCGAUUUGAUAAUUCUGCAGGCAACGUGAGCCUGUUUAACCCGAAUCGUCCCCGUGUGACUGGGAGGGAGGCAGGAGGCGGGCAGGAUGUCCUCUCUGAGUAAUAGAGAUGCACCAUGGAUCCACUUGUUUUGGGGGAGACCUCAGCACGGACAGAUGCCUUCAGCCCUUCUUCCUCACUCCCCGACUGCCCUGGGCAGUUGACCCCUCACCUUUGUAAUAGGGCAUGAGUCCCAGAAAGGCCUGGCGCACUUUCUCCCCCUUCAGCGGCUGCAUGUUCUCCAGCUGCUCCAGGAGGGGCCCGAUGGCAUAGUACUGGGCCUCUUUGUACACAGCCCGCACGCGCUCCCGGGGCGGCAGGUCCCCCGAGCGCAGGAAAUUCAGCACAUCUCUGAGCAGGAAGGAAAGAGGUGGGUGAGAAGGAGCUAACGGACCUGGACAGAGCCACACAGUGGUCAGAACACGGAUUCUGGAGCCAGACGGCCAGCUGUGUAGCCUUAAGUAAGUGAACUUAACCCCUCUGUGCCUUGAUUUUCUCAUCUGUAAAAUGGGAGGGGGAAUAAGAAAACUAUCCCAAAAUGUUAUGAAGGAGUUAAAUAAUAUAUAAAAAGUGCUUUGAAAAUUCCUGGCACAGAGCAAGCCCUCUGUGUCAGUAGCUGUCAUUACCAUUAUCGUGAUUACUGUAAUUACAAUUAGUAUUAGGUAUAUCAGGUGUUGUUAUUAUUAGGCAUAUACAGGAAAAAAUAGAAAGAUAUGAUAUCUGGUCCCUUAAUAUAUAUAUUUUAAUUGAAAUAUUGUUAAUAUUCAAUAAAUGUACAAAUAUUAA